ensembl:snoRNA Gm26165 predicted gene, 26165
GUGCAGCUAAUUAAGCCGACCAAGUCCCUUUUCCCCAUAGGGACUUGGUGUGCAAUGGUUGCAAACAGCAGCUUCCUUGGUGUGGUGUAUGUAGCCUAUUGUCUAUAUAGGUUGCUUCAAAGGGACCUUGGAGACAUUU